AAGAUCACGCUUCAUAGGAUCAUUUCUAUAUGCGCGAUCGCCGAGAUUCGUCCGCGGUCUCGAAACACCUUCGACCACGAUGAGGAGAUGGUGGGUCUUCGCCUGAGCGCGAAGCCGGCGACGGAGCUGCGGGUUCCGACCUCGGCUCCUGCCAUUGAUGACCGUUCCCUUAACCCUUGAAUGGCUUGAGGGAUGGCGAAGACCCUGUCUGAGUGGC
rnacentral:snoRNA from 1 species